rnacentral:rRNA from 1 species
UACGUAGGUCCCGAGCGUUGUCCGGAUUUAUUGGGCGUAAAGCGAGCGCAGGUGGUUUAAUAAGUCUGAUGUAAAAGGCAGUGGCUCAACCAUUGUGUGCAUUGGAAACUGUUAGACUUGAGUGCAGUAGAGGAGAGUGGAAUUCCAUGUGUAGCGGUGAAAUGCGUAGAGAUAUGGAGGAACACCAGUGGCGAAGGCGACUUUCUGGUCUGUAACUGACACUGAGGCGCGAAAGCGUGGGGAGCAAACAGG